rnacentral:rRNA from 1 species
UUUAGAGGAAGUAAAAGUCGUAACAAGGUUUCCGUAGGUGAACCUGCGGAAGGAUCAUUAUUGAAAUAAAUCUGAUGAGCUGCUGCUGGUUCUCUAGGGAGCAUGUGCACGCUUGUCAUCUUUAUAUCCACCUGUGCACCUUUUGUAGACCUGGAUAUCUCUCUGAGCGCUAGUCAACUCAGGUUUGAGGAUUGACUUUAUGUCUCUCUUUACAUUUCCAGGCCUAUGUUCUUCAUAUACCCCAAUGUAUGUCAUAGAAUGUAAUCAAUGGCCUUUGUGCCUAUAAACCUAUACAACUUUCAGCAACGGAUCUCUUGGCUCUCGCAUCGAUGAAGAACGCAGCGAAAUGCGAUAAGUAAUGUGAAUUGCAGAAUUCAGUGAAUCAUCGAAUCUUUGAACGCACCUUGCGCUCCUUGGUAUUCCGAGGAGCAUGCCUGUUUGAGUGUCAUUAAUAUAUCAACCUCUUCAGCUUUUGCUUGUUGAGUGUUGGAUGUGGGGGUCUUUUUUUUGCUGGUCUUCUAAGGUCAGCUCCCCUGAAAUGCAUUAGCGGAACAAUUUGUGGACCGUUCAUUGGUGUGAUAACUAUCUAYGCUAUUGACGUAAAGCAGUUCAGCUUCCUAACAGUCCAUUGACUUGGACAAAUUUUCAUUAAUGUGACCUCAAAUCAGGUAGGACUACCCGCUGAACUUAAGCAUAUCAAUAA